CUAAUUAUACUGUCAUAGAGCAAAAUAAAUUUACAAUUUCUACCCUCGAGUUCAGUGAACUAGCAGGGUAAACUUUCUUCAGGGCUGCUCUUUGGCAGGGCUCAGGGCCAGCCUGGGUGGCACGUGCCACUGAUACCUAGAGACUACUUAGGGUGAUUCUGGGAUUUGAAGGCUUGCUGUCCCCAGAAUGCCUACACACACAUACCAGUGGCAUACAUGUACACACACAUGCAUACACUCCCACACUGUAAUGCACAACUCUCACACCCAUUCACUCAGCACUCACUGUCUCUCACACACACACACACAUUCGUGCACCUUGCACUCACUUUCAUGCACACAAACCCAUGAACUUACCAAGUACUCUCUCACACUUAUGUAAGCACAUAUUUAUACAACUCACACAUACACGCACAGAUUCAGCCCCCCACCCCAUGCACACCUGUCCUCUGAUGCUGGGCCACUGCCACUCAGCCAUGAGUUUAUUUCCAUGGACCCCAGUUUCCUAUCAAGAUGCUUGGGACUUUCUCGAUUUUAGUGUGUCAAAGUCUCACCUCCUCGGAAACCUCCCCUGCAGAGUCCUGGGCAAACUGGGAUAUUGGUCACCCUGAAAUCCAGCCAUCCAAGAAGAUCCCUGAAGUCUUUAUCAACAUACAGUAUCACGAGUGAGGUUUUUACAAGCUCUUUGGGGAGGGGCUCUCAGGCACUGUGACAGGUCCCCGCUGUUUCUGGGUCAGCCUUCCAGGCACACACAGACAAGCACCCCACAGCAGCCAUGGGGGACACUGCACAGUGCUUGGUCCCCAGGCCCCAUCCACACAGAGGGUGGCUUCAAUGGCCUCUUCUGGGACUGGCCUCUGACAGGUGCACCUAAAUCCAGUUAGGAAAUAGAGGAUUUCUGAUGAUGCUACUGGCUUAGGAACUUUCAACACAAACCCGUUUCUGCCACCAAAAGGAGCUUUCUGAACAGCAGUGGUGACUGUGACCAGCCACCUCCAAUGGAGGAAUCCCUAGGGAAAGGCAGUCUUGUAUGAGUCAGAGAGCUCCUCUGGUGGGCAGGGUGUGACUGAAGAACAUGUAAGAAGGGUGUGGAGCUGUGUUGGAGGAGACAGUAAGGGCUUUGGAAUCAGCUAAAAUCAGAUUUGUAUCUUUUUUCUUCACUUAUCGGCUACAAAUUUGUGGCUUUGAGGAACUUAUGGAAUAAUUCCGAGCCUCUAUUUUCUCCUUCUAAACCAGCACGUGCAAAUAAUACCUCUCUCAAAACAUUCUUGCUGGUCUAUCUAAUGGCACAGGUCCUGGCUUAGUGAAGGUAGUGAGUAAAUGACAAAUGACAGCUCUUGAAAAAAAUAAAUGGGAACACUGUUUUAUUCUUCAUGUUCUUCUGGAAUGUUCCCAUCAAAGCCAAAAGGUGUUCUUUCCUCAAACAAUUAAGUUCAUGGAGAGUGCUGAUUUCUAUUGUUAUAAUAAAUUAUCACAAAUGUAGUGGCUUAAAACAAUGCAAAUUUAUUAUAUCAGAGUACUAGAGGUCAGAAGUCUGAAAUGGGUCUCACAGGAUUAAAAUCAAGUUGUUGGAAGGGCCUCAUUCCUGCUGGAGGCUCUGGGAGAAUUCAUUCUUUUGACUUUUCCAGUUUCUAGAGUUUUCCUGAAUUCUUUAGUGGACAGCCUCUCCCUUCAUCUUCAAAACAAGCCAUUUGGCGUCUUCACAUCUUUCUCUGUCUCGAACUCUCCUGACCCUUUCACUUACAAAGAUCCUUGUAAUUCACUGGGUCCCUUCAGAUAUUCCAGGAAAAAAAUCUCUCCCUCUCAGGAUCAACUUCACCACAUCUGUAGAGACCUCCUCGCCACCUAAAGGAACAUAUUCACAGGUCCUCACUAUUAGGAAGUGCACAUUUUUGAGAAGCCAUUAUUCUGCUUCCUGCUUUGGGAGAGCUUAGUGGCUUUAAACUUUUUAAUCUUCCAAAAGGUUUUCUCCAACCUUUGACACCUGUUCCUGCUUGCCUAGUAGCAAAUGCUGGCAGAAGGCUUAAAAAAAUACUGAACAGAUUAACAUCACCAAAAUAUUUAGAAACUGCCAGUCAGGUAGUUUCCUUCAUGCAUGUAUGGAUGUGUGAACCUGUUUACUUGUGGUUGUGAUUUUAUAGUAUGUGACAUAACAGUGUCACAGUUUUUGCUUGUAAAAUUGUUUCAAGCAUGUUCGUAGGGACUGAGUGGUUAUGCUUAAUUCUGCAGAAAUAGCUCUGACUUUGCAGACACUCUGAUCUGACAAGUCUGAUGAUCACCUCUGGGAGCUGCCAGGCUUAGGACUUUACAAGACCAUGUGUCCUGCAUGGGAAACCCGAGACAGGAAGAAAACAUUGGACUAUGCAAGUGAGUUCAGAGUAUGUGACUUUUUAAAUGUUCUUCAAAUGAGUCAAGAACUCCAAUCUGGACUUUGGAUGGAAACUGGAACUCAGUGGGAGGUCUUUGAGGGUGGAGGAUGGGAUUGCUUUCAGUCUUUCAAAACACAAAACAGGUGGUUUUCAGUGGUGCUGGCUGGAGGGGGAGGAGGUGUGGAGGGAGGAGUAAUACAGAGUAUACAGGCUCUCGGCAGAUGGGGAUGGGGCUGGUGUCUGCUGCCUGGGCUGCCACCUGAGGGUGAGCUGACAACUGAGGCUCAGGGACCCCCUGCGUGCUGCUGGGGGAUAGACUGGGACCACCAGGAGGCCCAGGGAGGAAACUGGAGACCCCAUGGGGAAAGGAUUUUCUUCGCCAGAGAACCAUUGCUCAGCUCAGAGGCCACAGCUUGGGGAACCCACAAAAGUAGGAGUCCAGCCAAGCCAGAAGCUCCCUAAAAAGAAGACCAAGGAGCAGAAUGGUGCAGUGAAGCAGCAGUGAUGAGGUCGACCAGGAAUCCAUAAGCCCAGCCAGAGGCAGGAUCACCCAAGCCCAUGGGAGGCUUUAAUUGCUCUAGGGUUCUGAGUAGAUGGAAAGUUGGAUAUAAAUAGGAUCGUGGAUUGGCCAAGCCAGCAUGAGAAAAGGAAAAAGGGGCCAGGGCUUUGAGGAGUUUUGGCUGGGAAAGCACUGGUGAUGGAGCCCAGGGCCUUAUGUACAAUUGGCAAGUGCUCUACCAUGGAGCUACACAGCAGACCUGAGUUAUGUGUUUUGGGGAUGAAGACUCCAGAGGCGAGGGGCCAGCACUAUCACCUUGUGUCAAGGGAACACGUACCAAUGUGACCUGUCACUGCGGAGACCUGGCAGAGGCAGCACUUGUCAGCUUUCCUCACGGUGAAGUUACUCAUUUUCCCCACGCUGCACUCUUUCAAAGCAAGUCAUUAAGCAUAGCCCACACUUAGGGAAAAUAAUCCGGAAUUUUAUUAGCCUGUUGUUAACCCUUUGGUAGCUUGAAAUUUGCCAUGGCGGGAUUUUGUCUCUUGGAAAUAAGACAACUCUACAAAUCUGGGCUCUUCUGGAGAGGAGGUUUUCUGGCCCACCUUGAAUGUGUGGAUUCCCAAGAGAUGAGAGUGGACAGGUGGAAGGGCCUUUGAAUCAAGAGGCUCACGGGGUGCAGGUAAAAGCUGGGGGCAGGAGUGGGUGUGGUGUGUUUGGAGGACAUGGAUUUAGGUAAAAGAGGCACGACAGACACGCAAGUCCUUGGGAACCUGACAGAAGCCAUUCUCCAAAAGGCUUUAAUUUAAGUAGAACUGGGGUCUUGCUGGACUUACUUUUGUUUUUUUCCCUUUUAUAGUAGUAAUAACUACCAUUUAUUGAGCACCUCUUGUUUAUGCAUGUUUUUAAUGUAUAUAAUUCCAUCCAAUCUUCACAGACUGUUUAGGGUGAGGUGUCAACUUGAUUGGCUGGGGGGACUAGUGGAGCUCACUUUUAGGUGUGUCAUGGAGGUGUGACCUUGGGUACUAGACAUGGUCAUGGGUCUGCUUCCUCUUGGCACUGUUCCCCUGCUUUACUUUCCAGGAACCAUAAACUAUGCAACUUUGCUCUGCCAUAUCCUUCUACCAUGAAGUUUCGGCCUCGGAGCCAGCUGACCAUGGACUGAACCUCCUGAAAAUUACUGAAGAUUGAACCCAGGACCUUUGCAUUGAACUUCAUCCCCAGCCUCCUCCAGUGCCAAGCCUGGUGCCCAGCACAGUGCAGCUCUGUUGAUCACAAUGGAGUGAGCUGAGCUGCACACGAUGACCUCUCUGGCAGGACGCUGGCGUGGAGGGAAAAGAAGCCCAGAGCAAAUUCCAGCCCUGGCCUGCAGCUCAGAUUUGACCUCCCUCUACUUUUCUCAACACUAAUCCCAGGCCCGUGUUAUGAUAAACUACUUGCUCCUUGUUCAGCAGUACAUUCAGGAACUGGACAGCCGCCAAGGAAAACACAGGGGCAGUGGUGGACUAUUGAAAUAAAUGAGUAGCCUAUGAUAAAUAUAGGAAAAACAGUGUUAGUUAAUACACUUAUGCGCCAACAAAAUCACAUACUAUUUAAUAGGGGGAGGAGUUUUAACAUGAAUGCGUAUGGCUUUAUGUAACAAGGUUGAUUUAAAAAAGAAAAGACAACAAAUAAUCUACAACCUUUUUAGCCAAGUAAAUGCUGGUUCUUCAAAGUCAGUAUUAGUGUGGUGGGAAACAUCAGUUGCCUAAAACAGCUCUAUUAUUCUUGAUGGAGGUCUUCAGAGCUGGAAUAGGAGGAAAAUUAGAUACAUUACUUGAUAAUUUAGCUUUUUGGUUUCAAGUCCCAAAUGGUAUCAACCAACUUGAUUACUGGCCUGGUUCACUAGACUUGGCUCUGAAUUAUUUUUAACAGUUUCCAGGAAUUAAAUCCACCUUAAAAACAAAACAAAACAAAACCAAAAAACCUCACACAAAUCUUGCUAUUUCUCAGGCAUGAAAAAAAGGUCUUGUAAGUUCUGGUGUUCCUAAGGGAGGUUCCCAAACUCCCUUUUUCUGAGCAGGAAAAAUCCCUUUGUUGACCUCACAGGUGAUUUCUGCAAAUGUGCAAGUUUUGAUUUCUUUGUUUGAAGAUCUGUCAUGUCAUCUUAGGCUCAGCCUUCCUCCUUAUUCACACUCUGCAGACUGUCAUCAGGUUUGGUCUGCACAAAAUAGUUGACCUGCAUCAAGGAAUUUAAAUUUUGAAUACCAGACCAGCCAUGACAUUCAGAUCAGUGGGAGACUUUGCAAAUCAAUAUGCAAACCUGAGCAGCCCACAUGGGUGUCUCCCCAACUGGCUCUCAGCAGGAGGCACAGGUUAUGCAAUAACUGAACUCAGCCUGCUUUCCUUCCAACUCAGCAUAAAUCGCUUGUGUGCAGGCGUGAUGGUGCCAAGCCCAGCAGCGAAGGCUAAUUGAGAACCUCGAUGUCUGCCUUCCUGACAGUAGAAAGCUUCGACCUGCUUCCAGGUGACAGUACACACACUUCCAGCAUGAACUCAAAACCCCAGCUGUCUCACCUGUAGAAAAUGACAUGUGCAUAUUACUUUUUUAAUAGGAUUAUUUGCAAAAGAUUAUACACAACAUAAAUCUCCAUCAAUAGGGGCCUCGACCAAUGUAUUAUGGAGUAGAAUAUAUGCAGAUGCAUAGGUAUGUGUAUGCACACAUUUGACAGUUAGUUUUAUAUGUUAUUUUGGUUGAUAUAUCCAAGGGAUGUCCAAGUGGCUA